rnacentral:rRNA from 1 species
UACGUAGGGUGCAAGCGUUAAUCGGAAUUACUGGGCGUAAAGCGCACGUAGGCGGCUUGGUAAGUUAGAGGUGAAAGCCUGGAGCUCAACUCCAGAAUUGCCUUUAAGACUGCCGAGCUAGCAGGUGAGAGAGGUGAGUGGAAUUCCGAGUGUAGAGGUGAAAUUCGUAGAUAUUCGGAAGAACACCAGUGGCGAAGGCGGCUCACUGGCUCAUACUGGACGCUGAGGUGCGAAAGCGUGGGGAGCAAACAGG